GAUGAACGCUAGCUACAGGCUUAACACAUGCAAGUCGAGGGGCAGCAUGUCGGUGGCUUGCCACCGAUGAUGGCGACCGGCGCACGGGUGCGUAACGCGUAUCCAACCUUCCCCCAAGUUGGGGAUAGCCCGGCGAAAGUCGGAUUAAUACCCGAUGUGGUGCAUUGAUGACAUCAGAUUUGCACUAAAGGUUCACCGCUAUAGGAUGGGGAUGCGUCUGAUUAGGUUGUUGGCGGGGUAACGGCCCACCAAGCCUACGAUCAGUAGGGGUUCUGAGAGGAAGGUCCCCCACAUUGGAACUGAGACACGGUCCAAACUCC
rnacentral:rRNA from 1 species